CCUACGGGGCGCAGCAGUGGGGCAUCUUGCGCAAUGGGCGAAAGCCUGACGCAGCGACGCCGCGUGAGGGAUGAAGGUCUUCGGAUCGUAAACCUCUGUCAGCAGGGCAGAACGGUCACUGUGCUAAUCAGCAGUGAAUUGACGGUACCUGCAAAGGAAGCACCGGCUAACUCCGUGCCAGCAGCCGCGGUAAUACGAAGGGUGCGAGCGUUAAUCGGAAUUACUGGGCGUAAAGCGCUCGUAGGCGGUAGGUCAAGUCAAGGGUGAAAUCCCCGCGCGCAACGUGGGAACUGCCUUUGAAACUGGCAAACUGGAGUGUGUGAGAGGAUAGUGGAAUUCCAGGUGUAGGAGUGAAAGCCGUAGAUAUCUGGAGGAACAUCAGUGGCGAAGGCGACUAUCUGGCACAUAACUGACGCUGAGGAGCGAAAGCGUGGGUAGCAAACAGGAUUAGAUACCCCUGUAGUC
rnacentral:rRNA from 1 species